AGUGAGGCCGAGCCUGCGAGCCCUAAUGGACGUGGUCCUGGGGAUGCAGAGGGUUUGUAGGAGAGCGCGCGGGGCCCACGGCUCCUCCAGGGCUCUCGGGAUAGCGACUGCCCGCUUUCUACACACCCGGCGGCGCAAGGGGCGGAAGGACACCCAUCCCCGUAUCCAGCCACACAUUCUGUCGAGGCGGCCGCGGGUACGAGGCAGAGACAGGCACAGCCAUUGCCGGGUCACAGAGUCGCCUGGGCGCUCUCUGCACAGCUCUGGAAGUCUCUCCGGUCUCACGGCCGUCACAAUCUCCCCGGACGACACAGAGAGAAGCUGAUGUUCCUGUCAGCGGCCUCCCACGCGUCGUACCCUCACUUGUAAACACGAGCUCUGGCUGCUUCUCUGGUCUUGGGAGGACUGGUCAUCAUGGGACCAGUUUCCAAAAUUCUUUCCUGCUCAGGGGUGUGCUCCGAAGCCCCAUGUGUCAUGAAAGGGCAAGGUUCAGAGUGACAGCUCGAGGAAGGAACCCUGACCUUUUUUCAUUGCGUGAAUGCAACCAGAAUAGCUGGGAUAGAAUCUAGAAAUCAAGUCGCCCUGCCAUCGAAGCCGAAAAACCCAUAUUACCUUGGCCGCUGCUAUCAUUUUCCAAGUCAGCCUUUCACUUAGCACCUCACACAAACCCCUAGACUUCUAAUGAAUAGUUGCUACUCUUUAAAGCACAGGAAGCCAUUGAACCACUCUCCCACCUAUAUCCACUAGAGGGCAGAACUACACCUAUGGCCAGUUACGGAGCAUCCUCUGAAGACCCCCUCCCUCCCCUUCUGCUCCAAAGAAAAAGCCUCUACAGGGCUAGUGUCAUCUGGUAAAAUGGAAGGCUCAACUGAGAAAAUGUCUCCAUCACAUAGACCUACCUACAGUCAAGUCUGUGGAGAAUUUUCUCAAGUGAUUGAUGCGGGAGUGCCGGGAUCACUGUGGACAGGGCUAUCCAUGGACAGGUGGUCCUGGGUUAGGUAAGAUGGCAAACUGAGGGACCCGUGAGAAGCAAGCCAGGAAGCAGUGCUCCUCCAUGGGCUCCGCUUCAGUUUCUGCCUCCAGGUUCCCACUUUGGAUUGCUUCAGCGAUGGAAAGUAUAAGCCUUUCCUUCCCUAGCUGCUUCUGAUGUCUUGGGACAGCAAAAGAAAAGAAAACUAGGACAUCUGUAUUGUUAGUUAUUGGACCAAUUAGCUGAAACGAUGCGCGUGUUGCUUAAGAUGGUUUUUCUAUUCUGUACCAGAUCUGAUCACGGCCCCACACUAGCCGAGAUCAGCAACAUUGACUUCUAUUUCCUGUGAUCAAAAGUUAGCAUUUAUUAUGUAUCUGCAUAUAAUUUAUAUAUUAAAGCUUUAAUCAAUACUGUUAAA